rnacentral:lncRNA from 1 species
GGGGUUUUCUCUCUCUUCUUCUUCUUUCACCUCAGCAUUGGGUGGGGUUUUCUCUCUCUUCUUCUUUCACCCCAACGUCGGGUGGGGUUUUCUCUCUCUUUUUCUUAUUUCAUACCCAGUGUCGGGUGGGGUUUUUCCUCUCUUCUUCUUCUUUCAUCCUCAGCGCCUUGGUUCUCCUCUUUUUCAUCCCCAGCGCCGCGUGGGAUUUUCCCUCUCUUCUUCUUCUUUGAUCCCUAGCACCGGGUGGGGUUUUCCCUCUCUUCCUCUCUUUUAUCCCCAGGGUCGGGUGGGGUUUUCCCUCUCUUCCUCUCUUUCAUCCCCAGCAUCGGGUGGGGUUUUUCCCUCUUUUCCUCUUCUUUCAACCCAACACUAGGUGGGGUUUUCUCUCUCCUCUCUUCUCUAACAGUCGACGAGCCCUAGCGCCGGUUAGAUUUCUCCCUCCUCUCUUUCCUAAUAGUCGGUGAGUCCCAGUGCCGAUUGAAUUUCUCUUUUCUCUCUUUCCUAACAGUCGGUGAAGCCCAACAUUGGUUGGAUUUCUCUCUCCUCUCUUGUCACAGUCAGCGUAGCCUAGCGCCGGCUCGAUCUCUCUUCCUUGCUUCUCUCCCUUCGCAACUGGCAUAAGCCUAGCACCGGUUGGUUCUCUCCCUCUUGUCUUUUCUCACCCCCCCCUCUGUCUGUUCCCUUCUUCUCGUACUUCAUUCUUUCCCCCAUGGCAACCACUCUACUAUCCUUUCGUUCGACUAAAAGGGAUUGAGGUUAGCCUCUCAUGGAUGUCCUGUCGUCUAGCCAUAAUAUUGUUGUGCCAAGAUUGCUUGGCUCGUUUUAUUGCCACGACAGACUGACCAUCGUGCUUAGCUAGUCGGUAUUGGUAAUGACGUCUAGUAGUAAUCUCGUGAGCCGGUCUUAGUACCAAGCGUGUUUUACUACCACGUCAAGCCAAAUACUCGCCAGCUUGAUCCUCGUGCUCAAUCGAACUCUUCUCUCUCCCGCCUUUCUUCUCUUCUUCUUUUUGAAUGCACCUACUUGUGUACGAUCACCGAAGAGGAAAAGGGUGAGGUUUGACCCACCAGUCUUACAACCUUUGCCAUAUAUGUGUGUAAUUAUAGAAAAUAAAAAGAAUACCAGCCAAGGGAGGCGAUUUCGAACCAGUUUUAUCACUGGGGGGCUUUUUUCGUGAUCUAAGAGGGCAUCCACACGAGCCAGCCCGAGUAAGUUCCGAACCCACCUUUAAAAUUCCUCUCUCACCAGUUGGUAACACCUGCCCCCAUUCUUGAAUGAGGUUCCCAAGAGAGCGAUCUCAAAAACGUCUCGAUCUUCUCUUGAAACUCGAGAUACGUGCCUUCCGAUCAUCCAGAUCCGGAGGGUGAGAUCGAGGCACCUAACCACGGGGACCCCUCUGAAUCUGCAAAUAAUGAGACCUUGGGCGUCACAAUUGCUAGAGAAGAGCCAUUGACUCAAAUGGCUAUAAUCCCUUCAAAUCCCGCCAUUGAUACUGAUGCUCCUUCUAUUGCUGCGGCCUCUGCAGCAUCGUCCAAGACUAGUGUCAGUGGGAUUUCCGGCAUCAUCAUGGAUAUGCUUCGUCUGGGCAUGUAGAGACUAAAGGAUAUGAACUUGACAAUGCAAUCCAGAAGUUAAGGCAAAUCACCCUUCUAGGGGGUGCACCAGAGGUCCUCCCAUAUCUGGAAGGGUAGAGAAUAAGGGCCUUGCAGGAGGAAGUAACUGCACAGCAGCUAGAGAGUUCUCAAUUGCCCUCUUUGGAGUCCUCACUCAUACGCCAUCGCAAACUGGUAGAAGCUCAAUUAUAGGAAAAUGAUGCUGCAGUUUCCCAGAGAUCUGACCUUAGUGAGGAGGCCAUUGCUCGCCAAUACAAGGUGAUGACCCUGAAGGCAGAGAUAGUAAAGCUGACGCUAGAGCUUGAUAAGUUGGAGGAGGAGACCGCAGCUUGGGAAGCAAAGAAUAAGGUGCUUGCCGAUAAUAUUUUGACCCUUGGGUAGUCCUUGGAGGAACGGACUGCCUUGAUGGAGCAUGAGGUUGAGAUGGUAGCAGAGUUGGAGGGAUGCAUCCAGCAAGCUAAGAUAUCUGCUGCAACAUACAAGGGCAAGAUCAAUGAAGUGAUUGAUCGAUUUUGAAAGUGUCGUCUUAUUUUUUUUCCUUUCCCUUGUUUUUAUUCUGACACUUGUAAUAUCCCCUAUGUUUAUGAAUAAAAAUCUCCUUUUCUUCAGUAUGAUGCGUGACUUUUUUUUUUUUUUUCAUUUGCUUCUCUGUACUCUAUCUCUUACUCUUGUUCAUUGUUUCUGGGUCAUGGAGGAAUAUCCUACACCUUGCUUUGUUUUGUGACAAGUCAUUGUAGCUUCAAUGACCUCGAAUGGGGGAGCAGUUGCUUCUUCUCCCCUUAAUGUUUGAUUGAGCAUGGGCUCAUAAUUCAUUGUUCUCAUAAUGUGAUGAGCCUACUCGUUGUAAAUAGUCCAAUCAGGAGGGACUUUGGCUUCUGUUAUAGGUGCAUUCACUCCAAGCCUGUCAUAGCUCUUAGCCUUAGGCACGAACUCCUUUAGGUGUUUUGAAGCGAUACGCAUAACCCGCAAUUGAUUUUGGAGACUGCGAACCUCGCUUCUUAACUCUACCAGGAGAUCCUGAUCUUGAGGACAAGAGGGUUUUCCUUUCCUUAGCUAUUAUUUUCCCAUAGAAUCAAGGAAGUGUAAGACCUUUUUUGCUUUCAAGAGUGUCAAUUUUGCUUUCAAGAGUGCAAUGGGGACAUGCAGGACUUUUUAAUUGUCUGACGUGUAGGUGAUCUACGGAGCAGGAAGAUCUAUCCCCAUAACUUCCUCAAUCUCAGGAGCAUUUCUGGUUCAUCUUCUUGCGAAGGUGGCUCAGUACUGGAAGCAGAGGGGGAAACCUCAUCUUCAGGGGAAGGUGGAUUUUCCUUAGGGAUGAUAGAUGGCACACUGGGAUGAAUGGGAGUCAGAGGGAGAAUUUUGCCUUGUCUUUCUUCCUCUUUAAACAUGCUUACAAGCAUUCUCUCAAUGUCCUCAACAUCUUCAUGAGGCGAAGGUUCCGCCUUCUUCACAAACUUGUGAUCACCUUCUCUUGACUUUUGGGGUGACACUGAAUCUGUGAAGUAAUACUUGGCAUCAGCAUAGUGAGUUUCAGCUACAGGAAACAGUCUUCUAUCAGCAGAGACCGUAUAUUGUCUCCCAUCUCGACUAUACUUGAAGAAGUGAUGUAAUGUGGAUGGAACCACCUCCUGAUCAUGAUGCCACUGGCGGCUAAGAAUGAUGUUGUAAGAUGUGUCGGUGUCGAUCACAUGAAAUUGGGCAUAAUCGUUUAAUUCACCGAUCCUGAGACGAAGACAGACCGUACCUGGUGGCUUCUCUCCUGACUGGUUGAACCCCUGGAUUGUGAUGUGAGUCGGAGUGAGAUCCUCAGACCCUAAUCCCAAACAAGUGAGGAUUCUCCUUUGGAUAAGGUUGAAUGCUGACCACCUCCAUACAACAUAAUUCGGUUGAUGGGACAUGCAUGUAAUUCACCAGUCACAAAGAGAAGGCGAUUGUGAAAUUUUUCUCCCAAUUGCAAAUCAUCCUCUGAGAAGGUGAUCGCCAUACAUCCACUUAAGAUUGAUGGGUCCACCUCAAUGGGUUCCACUUCGGUAUUGUACACCUCUGGAUUGGAGAGAGCCUGAACCAAAUCCAUACGGUAAUCCCUUGAGAGCAUGAGGGUGUCAUAGAUGCUGAGAAGGGAUGGAAGCUUCCUUAGGUGCCCUAUCAUAUCAUACUUCACCUUUUCAUCAUCAGCCUUUUGUGUUCUUGGUCCUGCCAUUGGCUUUGGUGGUAUAAUGGGUUGAGGAGAAGGUUUAAGUGGAAGAGGUUUAUUUUGGGCUACUGAUUGUCUUCAUUCCACAGUCAGCUUGGUUUGGGUAGUCUAAGUAGAUUGGGGAGGAAGAGUUUUUUUGGUGGAGUGGAAGUUUGAGGUUGAGGCUUAGGAGGUGGCUGGGUAUAUGGGACCAGUGGCAUCCCAAGGAAUUGGAAGAUGGGUGGAUUGUCCAGGGUAUUUGGGCGAGGAAGGAGCUCAGGGAGAUGGAGGACGGGUAAAUUGUUUGAAGUAUUUGGGUGAGAGAGAAGUGGUGGACCAGGAAACUUUAAAAUGCUUGGCUUUUGAGGUGGAGGUUGUAGCGUUUUCCCCGACCUCAGACUCAUUUGCCCCAUGCUGGGUGAUGGUUCUAAGAUUUGCACCAUUUGACAGACUUCCUAAUAAUAGAAGUCCUGCCCUCGUGAUUCUCUCAACCUCUGCUCAAAGUCGGGCUCAGGAGGCCACUAGGGCUUCUUUGACUCUGACUUCUUGUGCUUCUUUGUGGAAGAAGAUGGCUCUACUUUGACAUGAGCUGCCAGGGCGUCAGCAAUUGUCAAGAAUCCAGCCGCCUGGGCCGACAUCUUUUUCAAUCGCCUCCAGUGAGUCGUACUUAUAUUGGUUCCUUCGAGCUCUCUAUCAAAAGCCUUGAAAUCUAGACAUUUUAAGGUUGUACCUACAGGAGACAUAGAAAAGGAAGAAUAAGAAGAAGAAGAAGACGAAGAGGAAGAAGGAGAAGGGUUAGUAGGUGAGGGACUUUUAAGGUCAUUCCCCUCAUCGGGCCUAUUUGGGAAGCUUUUUACGUCAUCACUAGAGUUUGACGUGUGCAGGGGGUCUUUUGGGUCUUUCCCCUGCUUAGACCAUUGGGGAGUGCUUUUAACGUCGUCACCCUCAUUGGACAUGCCCGGAGUAAAAGAUGGCUCAGGGAUGUUCUCUUGACAAGACGAAAGAAUAAGGUCGAUGGCGACCGAUAUGAAGUCUUGUAAGGUCGGCAAGGGAGGAAGAGGCCUGAGAAAUUCUGGCUCGAUCGGUGGCUGAGGAACCUUGUUCUUCCGACGAGUAGCCCUUGGUGCUCGUCUUCUUCUAGUCACCUUUGGAGAUGCUUGGUCCGUCUUGCUCAGUUUGUGAACAGCCCUAGCUUGACAAAUCGUUUCUCGCUUUAAAGACUUGAGCCUGCCCCGCCCGUGAUGGACUUUCCAUGGCGGGACCAGAGGCAUCCUUCCAGGAGUCUUGUGUUGAAACACCCUCCUGGAUGGGUAAAGUGUCUUGAGGGUGUUCAGCGUAAGCAAUGUGACAUGCCUGGACUUUUCCUCAACCACAGCUUCGAACUCAUAACAUUCGUUCAACUCGUGGCCCCAUAUCUGAUGGUACAGGUACCAAUGAUUCUCAGUUCCCUGAGCAAGUAGCUUGGGUUGCCUCGUCGGCUUUGGUGUGAUGAGUCCUUGUUUGAGCAUCAUAUCAAACAGAGCAUGGAGAAGAUCUGUUGACAGCUCAUCAAAAGGGUGCUUGCUUUUGUCUUUCUCCUGUAUUGUUACAACGUGGGAAGCCUCAGUUGCCCCGAAUGCGUUCUUGAGUCCUUCAAGCUUGAUCUGAUCCUUUUGGAUGAGAGCCUCGAUGAGGUAUUUAAGUGUGUAGCAUUCUUCUGUGGAUGGUUUACCAUUCGAUGAUAAGCACAGUAUCUUGCAUGCGUAUCGAGAUCAACUUGAUUGGGAAACUUGAUCUCGACAGGUCAAUCAUGUUCUGUUCCAGCAAUAGUCAGAGCAGUGCAUGAACCCAUUCCUUUUCAAAAAGAUAAACCUUGUUCUGAGGGUUAGUCCAAUAAUGAUUUUGAAUAAGGUUCGCAUGUGGGGGUACCCGGUUGUAUGAUUGUUGUUGUUUGCCUGCCUGAGACGUUGUCUAGGUUUUUGUUGUGCCUAUCCCCUUAGAGACGUCCAAAGUUUGAGAGGCAGACUUCUUUAGAUCAUUGAUGGUACCAACCGCACUGAUUACCCCUUUUUGUUGAUUGCCCCAGGCGUUGGUCCGAGAAUUGCCAUUGCCUCGAUUAUUCCCGAGCAUGAAGGUUGUUGUCGUAACCUGCCAUGGUGGCAUGAAAAACUCUCUAUGCGACCUGACUUAGAGAUCAACUCUGACAUGGAGGUCGGAUGGAGGCCUCAACAUGUAGAGUGAUCUUAGGUCGCAUGUUUCUCACACGAGUUUGAACUGCUUCCUUCUCAGGCAUGGGAUUGGGAUGGCGAGCGACCAAAUCUCUCCACCUUGCUAUGCAUUGAUCCACAGGUUCAUCUGGUUCCUGGGUCAAGGUAAGAAGCUUGAUGGUUUGGACCUCUCUCUCGACCUCAUAGACAUGCUGGUGGAAUAGUUUCUCCAUGUCCUCCCAAGUAUGUACUGAAUUUGGGGGAAGCUGAGCAUACCACUGAAAGGUGGGGUCGUCAAGAGUUUCAACAAACUGAUGGAGGAGGAGUCUCCCAUCAACCGCUGCCUCUCGACAUGCCGCUUGGAAAUGGGCGAUAUGCUAGUGUGGGAAUGUUGUUCUAUUGAACAGGGGAAACUUCCCCUUAUUGUAGUCCGAAGGGAAUUGGACCUGACCAAUGUAAGAGGGGUACGUCUUUUGGGAAAGUGUUGCACCCUGCAAAGCUGGGACGUGUUGUGGGUUACCAUAGCGUCGAUGUCCACCUGUGAGACAGGGUGAGGGACAGAAUUGUCCUGUGAGGCAGGGGGAGGAGGCUGCCUUGGAGCUACAUAAUCUGAGUGAUGGGAGUUGGCUUCGUGGUUAGCCGAGUGUCGUAUGGUUUCCAUGCUGUCAAUCUUCUCCAUCAUUAAACGCACCAUGUCUUCAAACCUAUUCAUGCAUUAUUCCUGGCUGUUGCUAGGUUCGUUUAUAACCAUAACGCUGACCGUUUCUCCAGAGAGGUCAGCCUUAGGUGCAGUUGAGGACUUCCUAUGUUGGCGGGUCGCACGUGGCAGAUCGGUCAGCAAAUACCCUGACUGGACUCGAGUCUUAUGCGCCAAUCAUGUGAGGACCGGUUCUUGACAGUCUUGAGACCGUGGCUGCUGGGUGGUCAGGUCAUCUUUUAUGAUGCUGACCACGGUGCAGGAUUCUCGCACCUCUUUUUCAGUCUCUGUGAUUCGAAGAGGGUAGAAGGGAUUUUCAGAAAGGAGACCCUUGGAGUUAGGUGCCCCAACUUUUCUAGUCAGCUCCUUAAUUAAGAUAUGCAGUCCUCUGUCUUGCUUGAGCUUGAGACUGCGAUAGACCUCUCUCCAGAAUUGAGACUGGGGUCAAGGUUGACCUUCUUAGAGCACGAGAGGGCCAUGUCCAUAUGAUGGGGCAGCGAAUGUGGACCAUGGAUAGGGGCCAGCUUGGGCUGCUGCCUUGAAAGUUGUAUAACUUCAUCAAUCAUUAGGCCUUUUCCCCGAGUUCCUUUUUGGGCUCCAGGGGCAUAGCCGAUCUAACAGGGCUGGCUGAGGAUGGUACUCUUAGGGAAAACCUUCGAGUACCAGGUCUUGAGAUAUCCAACGGGAGGAGAAAGGGCAGAAGAAGAGGGGACCGGCUCUGGACGAUGUCUGGGUCAGGAGCAAGCAGUGGCCUGGGAAGGUGGCAUGUGUACGCCCCUUGAAGUAGCAUUCUGGGUGACUUGGGGGUCAGCCUGGGCUCGAACAGGUGGUCUGGCCUUAAGAGGUCGAGAACUGCGAGUCGAUGUCUACAAGGGAAUAGGUGAGGGCCUGUCCCUUACAGGGUGCACUAGUGUGUGCUGAGAGGAAGGACAAAGAGAUCGUUUUCCGUGUGCUUGAGUUGGCGCAGCAACAACGUUGCCCCGAGCAGUGAGAUGCAUAUGCAUGCGCACAGGUUUCGGCCCAAGGAGGCCUGAUCCUGGAUGCGUACUCAAGCCCCAAGGAGUGGCACGAGUGGAUGACCUACGAGCCUUAAUGUGUGUGCGUGAGGUGGAGGCCCUAAGGUCUCCUCCUCGAUGCGUUGAGUCUCUAAUCAUAGAGACUCAAGGUGGUGUAGGAAUGUGGGGGGAAGCCUUGUAGCGACCCACAGAAGCAACUACAACUUCCUUGCCUUUUGCAGAAAGGGACUGGGUGGCCUUCCGACGUACCUCAAAGAUACGAUCGACAAGUGACUUGUCAGUGACAGGGUGCAUGCUAUGGGUGGUAGAGGAUGUGCUACCAAUGCAAGGUGCUCUGGUGGGGGUUCCACCAGCGUUAAGAGAUGGGGAGUUAGGGACCUUUAAGUCCCUCCUCAUGCCUAUCUAGGUUAAGACCUGAGAGCUAGACACUGAGUCUUUGCUCAAAAGAAAAGCUAAGAACGAAGUUUGAGGAACUUGUUCUCGAGGGAAGCUCGUGAAUACGAGGAUGAGAAAAACCCCGAUUCGGAUGAAUGGGGUUAAAGAACCCGGAAGCCAUGUGGUGUGAGAAAGCAGAAAAAAACAAAGGAGAAACUAAUCAAACAAGUACGAUCCGAUGAAGGGGUAGUAAGUCCCCAAUGGAGUCGCCAAGCUGGUUAGGUGCCACAAUCUCGCCCUUGGAUAUGGAUAAUCUGGUGGCACGUGUCUCAGGUUUCAAAGGGAACCCGAGACUUGAGAUCGUUCUCUCAAGAACCUUGCUAAAAAACAAGGGCAGGUAUACCAACCAAUGAGAGAGGAAUUUAAGGUGGGUUCGGGACUUACUCGGGCUGGCUCGUGUGGGCACCCUCUUAGAUCAUGAAGAAAGCCCCCCAGUCAUACAACUGGUUCGAAAUCGCCUCCCUUGGCUUGUCUUCUCUUGUUUUUACGAUCACACACACAUGGUUAAUUUUACACAGACGUGCAUAUUCAAAGGAGAAAAGCGAAGAAAUGAUGAAAUGAGAGUUGGAAGCAAGAAGAAGAGAGGAGAAAAGAAAAGAAAGAGACAUCUGACCGGGUGACUAGCCUAGCACAGUGGCUAGAUUGGGAUGAUGAUUGACCUGACGUGGUAGUAAGAUGGGCACGGUAACGCGGACCUACACAACGGCAAUACUACUCAACGACUAAAUACCAACACUAACCAGCCUGGCACAAUGGUGAGUUCGACAUGGCAGCAAGAUGGGCACGAUAACUUAGACAGGCACAGCGGCAAUACUGCUCGACAACGAGACUACCAUGACAGUGCUUGACUUGUCUCUUGUUCAAAUGAGAGAGGAAAAAGAAAAAGAAAGAGAAAGAUGAGAGAUAAGGAAAGCAGAGAGAUAAAGAGAGAGAAGAAAAGAGAAAAGAGAAGGAAAUAAGAAGAAAAGAAAAGGAAGAGAUCGAAGAGAAGGAGAGAGAAAAGAAGAAGCGAGAAGAAAGAAGAGGAAACGAGAAGAGGAAAGAAAGAGAAGGGAGAAGAGGAAAGAGAAAAGGGAGAAGAGAAAAGAAAGGAGAAACGAAAGGAGAUAUAAAAGGAAGGGGGAAGGAGAAGAAGAAGAGAUAAAAGAAGAAAGGUGAGAGAAGAAGACGAGAGAAAAGGAGAGCGAAAGACCAUGGAUGGCGAUGGGUUCUACUGCCCAUGAUAAAGGAAAGAGGAGGGAGAAAGAACAUGGAUGACAAUGGAUUCUGCCGUCCAUGACAUAGGAAAGAGGAGAGAGAAAAAAUAUGGACGGUGAUGGGCUCUACCGUUCAUGACAAAGGAAAGAGGAGAGAGCAAGAACAUGGACGACGAUGGCCUUCCGCCAUGACAGAUGAAAGAGGAGAGAGAAAGAACAUGGACUACGAUGUGCUCCGUCGUUCAUAACAAAGGAAAGAGGAAAGAGAAAGAACAUGGACGGUGAUGGGCUCCGUCGUUCAUAAUAAAGGAAAGAGGAGAGAGAAAGAACAUGGACGACGAUGGGCUUCCGUCGUCCAUGUAGAGGAAAGAGGAGAGAGAAAGAACACGGACGGCAAUGGGCUCCACCCUUCAUGACAGAGGAAAGAGGAGAGACAAAGAACAUGGACAGUGAUGUGCUUCCGCCGUCCAUGACAGAGGAAAGAGGAAAGAGAAAGAGCAUGGACGGCGAUGAGCUUUUGCCGCAUGGACGGCGAUAAGCUUCUGCCGUCCAUGACAGAGGAUAGAGGAGAGAGAAAGAGCAUGGAUGGCGAUGGGCUUCUGUCGUCCAUGACAGAGGAUAGAGGAGAGAAAGAACAUGGAUGGUGAUGGGUUCCACCAUUCAUGUCAAGAGAGAGAGACAAGAACAAGAAAGGGGAAGACGUGCGCGCCACUAAGCAUCGCCGCUCGUGUCGUAAGAGACUCAGACACGACCCGUCCUACCACUUGGAAAAGGGCCCGGUUCAGUGUCCUUGUCAAAGAAUGAGGAAAGGAAUGUCAUGCACGGCAAUGAGCAUCGCCGCGCACAACAUGGGGAAGGGGAAACUUGGAUAGAGGCCCGGCCUGCCACUCGGGUUAAGGCCCGGCUCACUGUGCACGCUUCUAAAGGAUAAGGGAAAAAUAAGAAUGUCAUCCCCGGCGAUGGGUAUCACCAUGCAUGACUGGAGAGGAGAGAGAAGAUAAAUUACAGAGAGAGAAAGAAAGACAGAGAGGAAGAAAGAGAGUUUAGGGAAGAGAAAGUAGAAAGGAAAGUAGAGAGAGAAGGAAGAUGAACAGUGAGAGACAAAAAGAAAGAAGAGAGAAAAAAGGAAAGUGAGGAGAGAAGUUAGGAAAGAGUCAGAGGAUAGCGAAAGAAAUAUGCCCAACGCUGCCACCGCCGUGUGUGUUAGAGAGAGAAAACAAAAUAGAGAAAAGUUCAUGCAUGGCACUACCAUCGCCAUGCAUGUUCAGACAGAGAGAAGCAGAGAGAAAGAUAGAGUAGAGAGAGAAUAAAUAAAGGAGAAGAAGAAGAAGAAUAGAGAAAGAAAAAAAAAGAAAGAGACAUGCACGACUUUGCCACAGCUGUGCAUGUUCACAGUGAGGAAGAGAGAGAGGCGGAGAAAAAAAGAAAGUAAAGAGAGAGAAAGAAUGAGAGAGAAAAAGGAGGAGAGAGAAUAAAGGAAGAGAGAGAAUUACCUUAGGGAAGAGGGGUACCAGCUUAAUUCUUCUCUCUCCUCUCUCUCUCUCUCUCCAAGACAUCCCUCCUCAACUCAAUGUAAAAACCCAAACUUCAUUGAUAAAUUGAAAAUAUGAUAGGGAAUCCUUUUACAAUUAGGUUUAACGUGUAUUUAUAUAAUUGGGUCCAAACAUGGGUGGAUGCCCAAAAAUUAUCCUAAUUGAUGAUAAUUACAAUUUGUUUGAAUUAAAAUAAAUUCUAAAAAUAAGUGCAAAGUGAUUGUUUUGCCCCUGCCUAACAAUACAUGGAACUACAAAACAAUCCUUGCUAUUGCCCUAGAACGUGCGUGAUCUUCCAUGGAUGAUCCAGGGUGGCUCUAGUGCCCAUUUGGCAAAAAUAUGAUUGCUUUCUUGUAGGGCUCGUUAUGGCGAUCGAUUUGAUACCAACUUCGAGCCAUGGAUCAUGUUUUAAAGUCAUGAUCAUGCUACUUGAAAUUCGAAUGAAUCUUGAAAUCUUCGGAUCGAUAGUGUGCUCAUAUAUUGAUGUUUCUUCAUUGUAUUGCACUGAGCAUGUCGUCACGAUUGCGUGGCAACAAGUGCAGCUCGAUUUCGUGCCCGGACGAGGAUUUUGCAGUCUUGCGUUUUUUGUCGGAAUCUGAAAUUCGGCUUCUGAAAUUUAUAGCAACUUUAUCGGCUGCGCGUGUGAAAUCUAACCGUUCAUCAUACAAGGAGUUCGGCCAAUGGUAGCCCUAGACCUUACGUAUGCGAUGGAAUGCGCGAGCACCAUGAUAUGACCACUCAAGCAAGACGUAACACUGAUGAAUUUCCUGUUGCUUCCUUCACGAAUCAUUGACUUCUCUCUAGCUUUUCUCCCUGCUCAAGCGUGGUCACGGGGCGUGUCACAUAUCACAAAGCUCGUCUUGACGAGACGAACAUGCUUACAAAAUUUGAGCGUGAUCCGACUCGGGACGAGCGAGAUAUGGCUCUUGAAAGUCACUACCCGAGACUGUAAAAACAGUCAACCAUUAAUGGUGAUUUAGAGCAGGGAAGGCGCAUAGGAAUAGUGUGCAGCCUACCCCUUUUCAGUCUUUUACCCAUAACUUUGUCCUGGAGCACCCAAUUAAGCCAAAACUUAACCCAUAGAGGUUUUUGAUCUUAACGGAUUCAAUGGUGGUAGUCCCAUGGUAAUUUAACACACCAAAAAUAGAGUUCUAGUAACGGGGUCUGUUUCAGGGUGCUAGAGACUGAUUUUUCUGAAAUUAUUUUUUCGUCUGCGCUGCCUUAAACAUGUCAGAUUGCGAAGAAACUUGGCAAGUGGCCUUUUGAAUUCCUUAUGAACAUUUUCACUUGUUCUGGGGCAAUUCUGAGACUGUCUAGAAUUCCACUAUAAUUCGGGCUUUAUUGACCGGCUUCUCUUUUUAUUCUGCAUCGGAGACCCAAGGUGCUGAAAAAUGUCUUCAAACAAUAGUCUAGGAACAAGAUCAUGAGAAAUCUUCCUUUUUCUUGAGGCAAACUGGGGUUUUUAUAAGUGAAACGAUCCCAUGACAGCCUGUAUCCAAUUUUGUGCGAAAUUUGGGGUCAUCAGAGCCUUAGCGCCAUUUGGAGUGGGGCCAAGUCAUUAAUGCUCAUCAUAAUGACAGUCAGUAGAAAUUAAUUGCUUAUUAAUAUAGACUUGUACAACCUGUCAGAUUCUGGUGCCGUUGGCAAUGGUGUCAGCAACAUUCAGACUGCUGCCAGGCACAUGGCAUGCUAUGAUUACUCCAAUUUUGCCAAUCGCAGUUUGACGCUAUUCCAACUAGCAUCAGCGACAUUCGAAAUAUCGCCAAAUACCAGCUCUCCUGCCGCCUUGGUUGUACUUUCUUCUUACCAUCAUAAAAUAUAAAAUCGACAACCUCACUUGUACUGAUAGUUGACAUGUCAGUACGGUUCUAUCAAGGCAGUGAGUACGGACUGACAUGUCAGCCCGUCACAUCAGUCACUUCGGCAAGGAUGUGUCCCAGCUGUUGAAGGGCUCGGGGCCUGGCGUUAUUGAGAAUGGCACUGAUGACAUUGGCUCUGCCACCAAGCAUCUUGAUCCUAUUCAGGCCUCUGAAAGUGGAUCCUGUUGAAGCUUGGAGAUGGGGGGCCUGGAACAUGACAUCAAUGGGAAUAGCACUAGGCCUCUUGUGUCCCCGGUCGCCCAUGCUGUGACCCAGGUGCUUUUGGUAUCUUACUGUCGAAGUUUUGGUAGGGCUUUGGUGUUCGUUGAGGUCACAUCAGACCCUUUCCUAUUCAAUGCUUCAUAGUCAGGCCGCUCCGGGUAUACCUCGCCUUGUUCAGCCUCUUGAUGCGCUUGGUCCCAUUUGAGCAGUAAGGGUUUGGUGGAGGCUAGGUUUACGGAGAAUGGUUCAAAAUACCUGUGUAGUCUGUUGGGACAUUUCAACCUAUCAAUAACAGUUCCAGUCGAGAUUGGGGUGUCUACAACAAGGUAACGCAAAUGAAGCUAAACAUUUUUUUUGGGUAGUUCAGUGGUGAUAGGGGGGUAGUUCAGUGGUGAUAGGGGGUACCCUACCUGCAGUAGAAUGGAAUCAAGAUGUUAUAUUUUGGCAACCCACCACCCUGACCACCUAGGCUUGAGCCUAUUCUUAAAAAGUUAUAGAUAUCUAAAAUAUGAAAACCCAAAAUUUAGGUUUUUCUUUGUUUUGGACAUUCAAAAAGCAAAUAUCUAAAAUCGAGGUUGUUCUUUUUAAAAUUUUGCAAGUAUAUCGAAAUCUAGAGAAUACCUUAAUUUUGGAUUUGAUAUUUUGAAUAUUAGAAAUGUAAAAAUAAAUUAAUUCCAACUUUAUUAGUUGUUUUUAUCCGGAACAUCCCAAAUUUUGGCAAUUAAGUCAUUUAAAAAAGUUUGGUAAAAAAAAAAUGAACAUGAACAUAGUAAGAGAGAAAUCUAAACAAAUUUUAAAGGGUGUGGUUUCUAUAAGGUUGCAACCUUAAACAAUCUAAUUAAGGCGUACCUCCAAAUUUUAUCAUAACAUCUAAUUUUGGAGUAAAAAAUUCUUAGGAUUAUCUAAAAAUCUAUUUUCAUAUCUAAUUAUAAAAUUUUAAACUCCAAAAAUGAUUAAAAUCAAGUAUAUCUAUAAACAUAUGAAAAUCUUGAAAAUGUACGGUCUAGAUAAUGUGUUGCAAGAUGCACUAUUUUUUAUACUCAAAAUCCUUUUUCUUUUUUCAUAUUCGUACAUCUUGAUGUCGAGAUGAUCGAUUAGAGGGUUUUUCAGCAUUAAAAUAACAUUUUUCGAUGGAUUUUUAGCUGCAUCUUUAAUUCUAUAUUUUAAGGUUCCAACCUUGUAUAAACCUUUUUCAAUUUUAAAUUUCAUAAAUUACAGGGAAUUUAGGAAAAAAAUUAUCUAAAAGAUAAACUGUUUUAUUCUAUACCUUUUCUUAUGUUUUAUUUAAUAUUUCUCCAUAUCUAUAUUUUUCUUUUUUCUUUUUUUUUUCUUUGAUAUCAACUAUCCAAUCAUAAGCGAGAUUCAAAUCCUCGUCGAUAAAUGGUUGCCACUACAAACAGGUAUAAAAAGCACAUGACACACCACCUCAAAGCACCAACUCUUCACUUCACUCCCUAUCGUUGCCCUCUCUACAACCCUUGCUUAGCAACUCCAUGGCAACGAUGUCCCUCUCCUCCCCCUCAUUCGCCGGCAAAGCCGUGCCGGUGAGCACGCAAUCCGAGUUCGGAGGCCCCAUCGGUGGGGACGGCAGAGUGAGCAUGAAGAAGAUCGCCAGCAAGCCCUCUUUGUCCUCAGGGAGCCCGUGGUAUGGUCCCGACAGAGUCAAGUACCUCGGCCCGUUUUCUGGGGAGUCCCCAUCCUACCUCACAGGAGAGUUCCCCGGUGACUACGGGUGGGACAUCGCUGGCCUCUCUGCCGACCCCUAGACCUUUGCCAAGAACAGAGAGCUCGAGGUCAUUCACUGUAGGUGGGCCAUGCUCGGUGCUCUUGGAUGCGUCUUCCCAGAGCUCCUCUCGUGAAAUGGCAUCAAGUUUGGCGAGGCCGUGUGGUUCAAGGCUGGUGCUCAAAUCUUUAGUGAGGGUGGCCUCGACUAUUUGGGGAACCCAAGCCUCGUGCACGCUCAGAGCAUCUUGGCUAUCUGGGCCACUCAGGUGAUCCUCAUGGGUGCUGUCGAGGGAUAUCGCGUGGCCGGCAGUCCCUUGGGUGAGGUGACCGACCCACUCUACCCCGGUGGCAGCUUCGACCCCUUGGGUCUGGCCGAGGACCCUGAGGCCUUUGCCGAGCUGAAGGUUAAGGAGAUCAAGAACGGCCGGUUCGCCAUGUUCUCGCGGGUUCUUUGUUCAGGCCAUUGUCACUGGAAAGGGUCCAUUGGAGAACCUGGCUGACCACCUUGCAGACCCAGUGAACAGCAACGCUUGGGCCUAUGCCACCAACUUUGUGCCCGGAAAGUGAUUCUUCUUCCCUCCCUUAUUUUGAUGCUGGGUUGUGAAAAGGGUUUGUAAGAGUGAUGGAGUUGUGGGUUGUGUUGUGCUGGUCUCGCAUCAUUCCAAUUAAUUAUGUAAACCUGGAUUCUUGAGAGCUGCUGAUGUUUAACCUGGAUUUUGAUUAGUCAGAUAUUUUCCUUUUUGUCCAUAUUUUUCUUAGUCUUCCUUUUGCUGAAUUUGUCACAAACUCAUUCAAAAUUUCACUAGGACUAUGUUUGAAAAGAUAAAUAAUUCUGGCUUAAGAACGGAUGAAUUGAGAGAGAACAGUAUUUUGCGUUGAGCCAAAGCACAAGGGAAAGUUAUUUUUUCAUGGUAUUGAUUGGGAAAAUUAAAAGCUAAAACUGCCCCCAUAUAGGGAUGGCAAUGAGCCCGACCAGACCCGGGACCUAACGGGUAGACUUGAACUCAGGUUUGAGAAUGGGUCCAAAUUUUGAACCCAAAUGGUUGGGUCCAGGUCUAAAACCUGGACCUGAAUACUAUUUGAGUCCAGUCGGACCUAACCCGAAUAGUGUAGGCGUAUGUGUGUAUUCAUAAAUAUUUCCAAUAUGUUUGUUUCUUAAGAAAUUAUAAUUAUUAUGUAAAAUAGUAAGGAAUGUGGAUAUACGUUGGUAUUCAUAAAUGUUGAUAGCACUGAUAUAUGAUGGUCAUAAAAAAAGGCAAAAAAAAGAAACCCAUAGUUACAGCCCAUGGGUCUUACGUAAACAGUAGAGGUGGCAAUGGACCCAACCAAAUCAGGGACUUGAUGAGUAGACCUGACCUCGGGUCAGAGUAUGGGUCCAAAUUUUGGACCCGAAAGGUCGGGUCUGGGUCCAGUCGGAUCCAACCCAUAGCCACCCCUACUCCCAUUUGAAUGUGGGGGUAUUUUUUUUAUGGAAAAAAAAAUGCCCCAUUUCAAUUCACCAUUUCACAUAGUUGUCUUUGUGCAUUUGGAAACAAAAUUGAACAGUGAAGAGUUUUUGCUGGAGCCAUUUGUUCCUGUUCGAACUCGGGUAUAAUACUACUUGUACCCCGAAUAAUAUCCGAUGCCAAUAGCGGACCGCAACGUUGUGCCAUUUCCUCUGCUCCAAAUCCCUGUCAACAAUUUUGAUGGAUUUUCCAACAUUUGAUGAAUAUUUGAUCCCUGGAACUUGCAAUAAAUAAGUGCUUCUAAAUGGCAGGCCAAUGUUCUCCAUUUUAAAUGCUUAUUUUUUAGGAACUAAAUCCUUAGUUAACUAUUUGACUUCCUCAAAUGAGUUGCAGGGACCUUACUCCCACUUAUCAUGACCAAGUUAAAAAAUACAUGACAAGAAGUUGGUUUCCAAUCAACUUAAGUUUUGACUUGUUUGGCCUCCCACUAUUAUCAUUUAAAGUUUUAUACGAAUAAUCAAAUUGAACCCUCAAAGGAUAAAGGGAUUACAAAGAUCUUCAUAUACUUUGAUUUCUAUUUUAAUAAUGGGUGGGGCAUUUUAAAGACUCAUUCCUAAAAUAUUGAGAUCCAUAAUUUAACACUUUCCUUUUGUUUGGAUAAAUUUUAUUAAGUCUUUUAAAGCACUUGUGUUCAUAAAUUGUGGGAGGGACAACUUAUUUUUUUUGAAACUAGUGGCAACUUCCUAUUUAGCCUCUUCAUCGGACCAACACGUCACCUAGUGGUGGGACCGGAUUCCAAAGGAAAGGCGACUUCUAAAAAAAUAUUUGAAUAGAAAAAGGUUUGAAAAAAAAUAAACGUUGCUGUAAAAUAAAAACUUAUGGCAAGAUUUGCUACAGUGGAAUUGACGAAUCAGGAAUCGGUUCUGUAUGUUGUGGGAAUCAAGAACCAGUUUGAAACAAAAAAACUUAUAGCAAGAUUAAUCGGGAAUCGGUUCAGAUCGGGUAUGUUGAGGGGGAAUCAAGAACCAGUUUGAAUCGGGGAUUUGCUCCAGUAGAGGUUGGCGAUAUUGGAGGUGACAGCGUUCUAGUGAGAAGAUUCCCGAUACAAAUUGAAAAAUUAUUUGCCCUCUCCAAUUAAGGAAUUUUUUUUUUUUUUUUUUUUUUUGAUCAAACAAGCAUCAAAACACCUCUAGGUCAAUCAUGAAAGAUCACGGAAGAUCUCGGGCAGCAACAGGGACUGUUUUGAAAUUCCACACAUUGUUAGGCAGGGGCAAAAUAAUCUUUUUGCACCCAUUUUUAGAAUUUUUUUAAAUUCAAUUAAACCGUAAUUUCCUUCAAUUAGGGUUACUUUUGAGCGUCCACCCAUAUUUGGGCCCAAUUCUAUAUAAACGGCACUGCCACAUUGUAAAAAAAAAAAAAGGACUCUCAAUUCAUUCUUCAAUAGAAAUUUUCAUUCUUGCUUUGAGUCUGUAAGUACAUCUUGAAGAAAGAGAGGAGAGAGAAGAAAAGGGUCGGCUACCCAUCGAGUAGGUAACUUUCUCUCCUCCUCUAUUUCUCUCUCCUCCUCUCUUUCUCUCUCAUCCCCUUUUUCUCAUCUCUCUCUCCUCAUUGCAACUGGUACAAGUCCAGCGUCGGUUGUUUCUCCUCUCUUUCAUCCCCAACACCAGGUGGGGUUUUCUCUCUCUUCUUCUUCGUUCACCCCAACACUGGGUGGGGUUUUCUCUCUCUUCUACUUUCACCCAGCACUGGGUGGGGUUUUCUCUCUCUUCUUCUUUCACCCCAACGUUGGGUGGGGUUUUUUCUCUCUUUUUCUUAUUUCAUCCCCAGCACCAGGUGGGGUUUUCUCUCUUUUCUUCUUCUUUCACCCCAGCAUUGUGUGGGGUUUUCUCUCUUUUCUUCUUUCACCCCAACGUUGGGUGGGGUUUUUUUUUUCUCUUUUUCUUAUUUCAUCCCCAACGUCGAGUGGGGUUUUUUUUUCUCUCAUUUUCUUAUUUCAUCCCCAGUGCCGGGUGGGGUGGGGUUUUCUCUCUCUUCUUCUUUCACCCCAACGUCGGGUGGGGUUUUCUCUCUCUUUUUCUUAUUUCAUCCCCAGUGCCGAGUGGGGUUUUCCCUCUCUUCCUCUCUUUCAUCCUCAGCGUCGAUUGGUUCUCCCCUUUUUCAUCCCCAGCGCCUCAUGGGAUUUUCCCUCUCUUCUUCUUCUUUCAUCCCCAGUGCCGGGUGGGAUUUUCCCUCUCUUCCUCUCUUUCAUCCCCAGCGCCGGGUCUUUCAUCCCCAACACCGGGUGGGGUUUUCCCUCUCUUCCUCUCUUUCAUCCCCAGCGUCGGGUGGGGUUUUUCCCUCUAUUCCUCUUCUUUCAACCGAACACCGAGUGAGGUUUUCUCUCUCCUCUCUUCCCUAAGAGUCGACGAGCCCCAGCGCCGAUUAGAUCUCUCUCCCUUGCUUCUCUCCCUUUGCAACCGACGUCAGCCUAGCACCGAUUGGUUCUCUCCCUUGUUUUCUUUCCUUUUCUUAUUUUUUUUUUUUUUUUUUUUUUGGGACAAUUUUACCUAAGAAUAGAACUUGAGAUGUUAAGCUAUGAAAACCCAACCUCUACCAUCUUUACCCAAACCCAAUUC